rnacentral:lncRNA from 1 species
GGGAACAGAUGUAGUUGAGCGCGGCACACCAUCCGCCGAAGAUGCACAACAGGAUGGGAGAGUAGUAGAAAUCACUUGCAAACCAGAGCUCGUCCCCCAGGACACGGAACACCCUGUCGGCGCUGACCACCGCGCCCCCGGUGCCGGCGCUGUGCAUGCCUCUGAGCACGAAGCUAAGCGCCUGGACGGACGACCCAGCGUCGGCGAGGGGGUACCCUGACAGACCCCGCCGCAGGAUCUUGAACAGAGAGUAGGAGAGGCAGAGGUCCCUGAGCUCCACCC